UCCUGGCUCAGGAUGAACGCUAGCGGCAGGCUUAACACAUGCAAGUCGAGGGGUAUAUUUCUUCGGAGAUAGAGACCGGCGCACGGGUGCGUAACGCGUAUGCAAUCUACCUUUUACAGAGGGAUAGCCCAGAGAAAUUUGGAUUAAUACCUCAUAGCAUUGCAGGAUGGCAUCAUUCAGCAAUUAAAGUCACAACGGUAAAAGAUGAGCAUGCGUCCCAUUAGCUAGUUGGUAAGGUAACGGCUUACCAAGGCUACGAUGGGUAGGGGUCCUGAGAGGGAGAUCCCCCACACUGGUACUGAGACACGGACCAGACUCCUACGGGAGGCAGCAGUGAGGAAUAUUGGACAAUGGGCGCAAGCCUGAUCCAGCCAUGCCGCGUGCAGGAUGACGGUCCUAUGGAUUGUAAACUGCUUUUAUACGAGAAGAAACACUACUUCGUGAAGUAGCUUGACGGUAUCGUAAGAAUAAGGAUC
rnacentral:rRNA from 1 species